rnacentral:rRNA from 1 species
UACGAAGGGUGCAAGCGUUGCUCGGAAUUAUUGGGCGUAAAGGGUUGGUAGGUGGUCUUGUUUGUCUAAGGUGAAAUCCCAUGGCUUAACUGUGGAAGUGCCUUAGAAACGGCAAGACUAGAGUCCUAGAGGGGUUUGUGGAAUUCCCGGUGUAGCGGUGAAAUGCGUAGAGAUCGGAAAGAACACCAACGGCGAAGGCACUCUGCUGGGCCGACACUGACACUGAGAGACGAAAGCUAGGGGAGCAAAAUGGG